rnacentral:rRNA from 1 species
UGCGUAGGCGGAUCAAUAAGUCAGUGGUGAAAUCUCUCGGCUCAACCGGGAAACUGCUAUUGAUACUGUUGAUCUUGAGUUCGGUUGAGGUAGGCGGAAUGUGUAAUGUAGCGGUGAAAUGCUUAGAUAUUACACAGAACACCAAUUGCGUAGGCAGCUUACUAGACCGACACUGACGCUGAGGCACGAAAGCGUGGGGAGCGAACAGGAUUAGAUACCCUGGUAGUCC